rnacentral:rRNA from 1 species
CUACGGGGCGCUCCAGUGGGGAAUAUUGGACAAUGGGGGAAACCCUGAUCCAGCAAUGCCGCGUGUGUGAAGAAGGCCUGCGGGUUGUAAAGCACUUUCGGUUGGGAGGACUGCUUCUAGCACUAAUAUUGUUGGAAGUUGACGUUACCUUCAGAAGAAGCACCGGCUAACUCCGUGCCACGCAGCCGCGGGUAAUACGGAGGGUGCAAGCGUUAAUCGGAAUUACUGGGCGUAAAGCGCGCGUAGGCGGCUAGAUCAGUCGGGUGUGAAAGCCCCGGGCUUAACCUGGGAACUGCAUCCGAUACUGUCUAGCUUGAGUGCAGGAGAGGAGAGUGGAAUUCCACAUGUAGCGGUGAAAUGCGUAGAUAUGUGGAGGAACACCAAUGGCGAAGGCAGCUCUCUGGCCCGAUACUGACGCUGAGGUGCGAAAGCGUGGGGAGCAAACAGGAUUAGAUACCCCUGUAGUC